UUUUGAGUUAAAUGGGGGAUUUUCUAAGAGAAACUGCAUGAUUUUGGGGUAAAUGCGGGAUUUUCCAAGAGAAAAGGCGAGAUUUUUGAGUUAAAUGGGGGAUUUUCCAAGAGAAAAUGCGUUAUUUUCAUUUACAUGUGAGUUUUUUGUAGAGGAAACACGUGAUUUUGGGGUUAAAUGGGGGAUUCUUGAAGUGAAAAUGUGAUUUUUUGAGUUAAAUGGGGGAUUUUUGAGGAGAAAAUGCGUGAUUUUGGGUUAAAUGAGGGAUUUCCGAAGAGAAACUGUGAGUUUUGUGGUGAAAUUGCGGGAUUUUCGUUUCCGUUUUUUUUUUUUUUUUUUUUUUGGUAGAGAAAAUGUGUGAUUUUCGUGUUAAAUGGAGUAUUUUUGAAGAGAAAAUGUGUGAUUUUGGGCUUAAAUGGGGGAUUUUUGUAGAGAAGGAGUGAUUUUCGAGUUAAAUCAGGUAUUCUCAAAGAGAAUAUCCGUGAUUUUGGGGUUUAAUGGGGGAUUUUUGUAGAAAAAUACAUGAUUUUCAUGUUGAAUCGCCAAUUCUUGAAGAGAAAAUGCAUGAUUUCUGCUUUAAAUGUGAGAUUUUAACAGAGAAAAAGCGGGAUUUUCAGGUUAAGCCGGAUAUUUUUUGUAGA
rnacentral:lncRNA from 1 species